CGUCUCCCUUCUCUUUCCUCUGUCGCUCCAUCUCCUGCACCAGAUACACACCUGACAGCUCAUUGCCAUGUGUACCACCACAUACGGCCAAACGACCCAUUGCUGGCAGGAACGCUGAUGCCAUCUACAACAGAAAAUGUUUCUGCACUUGCACCGUUGGAAUCGUCAGUGUCAACCUUUUUGCCAAGUGAAAAGCGAUUCCCUUUUCAUAGUCACAACAACCCACCAAGAACAACUGACCUGGUUUACAGUAUGGAGUUAGUUGAAGCACACUUGUGAUGCUCUUGCCUGCACUGACAGAGAGUGUGAAAGUUAGACUCCUCCAACAGGCGUCAAUGGAGGUUGCCAGAUCUGCAUAAAAGGGCAGCUUCUUCCCGGAGAGCUCAAACACCUGCGGAAGCAUCAAAGGAUUAAAUAAACGGUCGAAGAUGAAAGGUACAGAACCACCUGAACCCUGGGUGCGUGGUGAGAUGCAUAACAUGGCCUUUCUGUGGUUAGAACACACAAACACGGGCAUGAGUAAACACACGUGCACAAACAUCCACGUGCACCUAACGUAUGGGAAACACAGAGAGUACGCUUGUAACUGUUUUCUGUGAAGCAAAAAAUGUUGUCUGUCAAACUCCAGAACAGACAAAAGAUAUCAUAAAAGAACUCCAUAUAUGGAGGUCAUGCACAUAUCUCAAAAGAAAAUUAAUCUUUAUUCACAUGAUACUCCUCUCCACCAAAGCUCUCCAUGUUAAUCUGUUCCUGUAAGACUAUUAUUACAUUUCUUUUAUUUUAUAUCUUGACAGACCUGUUCUUGUUUGGAAGAGUUGCAUGAAGAUUCUUCAAAGCUUGAUGUGAAGAUGCAUAAGUAAUGACAGAAUAUUUUUGAUCUCUUUUUGCCAUGCAACCAAAGGGAUUGACAAUGAUAUUUAAAUGUUGCACUGUUGCACAAGAUGUUCUUCUCGCGCUGAAUUUAAAUUUGCAUCACACUAAGAUGUUUUGCGUCAUCUGCAGCUCAGAGACGAAGAUGUGGAAAAUGUUAUGGAAUCUUGUGACAACUCAUGGACCAUGAAUAUUGCUCAUCUGAGAAGAAGUAAAACAGACAACAUGGCUUUUAAAAAGUUCAAACCCACUGACACUUCAAUGCCUGCCAUUUUAGGAUGGACUUCAAAGACUGUGAAUUAAUGGAGGGAGGCGUUACAGAGCAAUUCUACUGCCAAUUACAGUUUAUACCAGCUAGACAUCGACACACGCUUCACUUACUAUCGCCUUCAUCCUUUCCGUCAGAUUAAGAUGAACAUCAAAAGACUAUAAAUCAGUCAUUUACUGUUAAAUCAUAAUCUUUACCAAUUAAACAUUGGCUUAAUAACAUUUUAAUAAUGUCUUCAAUGAAUGCUUGACUGGUAUAAGACAAUAUGUACGAAUAUUUGGCAUGUAAAUUUAUUGUAAUGAGGACGGGCUCCAGCUGAGUCUGGUUCAAUCAAGGUUUUUUCUCCCUAAAAAUUUUUUUUUUUUUUUUUUCCUUGGCAUAAUUAUAUUUGGCUCAUUCACAAUUAAAAAAUAAUUUUCUGUAAAGCUGCUUUGAAAAUGUGUUUAUGUGAAAGUGAAACAAAUGUAGGCUACUUGUUUUGUGGUGGUCAAUAACAAUGCUAAUCUUUACAAUGCUAAAUUUUCUUUUGCUUUUAAAUGCUUAUUUCAAUCCCCAAACCAAUAUACAACAAAAAGAGGUUUUUAAAACAUUGUUAAUAUGCAUUCCAUGUGGAAUUUUAUAAAUUCCAAAUGUGUUUGCAAAGACAUUUCUGUGAAUUCAUUAAUGACCGAAUAAUGUCAUCAGGGUGUAAUUUGUCUUUAUGGUAA